UUAAAAAAAGAAGCAGAAGUUCCAAUUACAAAAUGAAGCAAAAAAAGGAAGCAGCAGAACUUGUGAAUUCCACCUUGUUUUAUCCAACAAACUUCUCUACUGCAUCUCCUUUCGUCAAAUUGGUCACAUAUCUAACCGAAGAUUGUCAUACACAUGAGAUAUCUAACUGAUGGAUGCUGUGUCUCACCGAUGGAGUCACCGGCCACGAUGGUUGAAUUAUAGUUAUGGUGGAACAGAGGAGGAGAGGGUGGAGGCUGGUUGGGGUUUACGCUGGUGGUAGGUGACGGCAGCAUGCUGAUGGGUUGUUGUCACACCGAUAGCAGCGGUGGUGCGGCGGUGGAAAUGGAGAAGAGAGAGUGGAGAGAUAGAGAAGAGAGAAGAUGGAGAAGAGAGAGCCAAUGGCCACUACCAUUUUAAUUUAAAUUUUUUAAUUUUAAUUCUCAAUUUAAAUUUUUUAUUUUUUAAAUAUUUAAUUUCCUAUGUGGCAAUGUAGUAUUUAAAAUAAUGUGAAAGUUGAUGUAAAAUUUAAUAUAAUAUUUAAAAAUAACG